rnacentral:rRNA from 1 species
UACAGAGGUCCCAAGCGUUGUUCGGAUUCACUGGGCGUAAAGGGUGCGUAGGUGGCCGGGUAAGUCUGAUGUGAAAUCUCCGAGCUUAACUCGGAAAUGGCAUUGGAUACUAUUCGGCUGGAGGGUUGGAGGGGGGACUGGAAUUCUCGGUGUAGCAGUGAAAUGCGUAGAUAUCGAGAGGAACACCAGUGGCGAAGGCGAGUCCCUGGACAACUCCUGACACUGAGGCACGAAAGCCUAGGGGGAGCAAACAGG